GGUAGCGUGGCUCAGUGGUUUAAGGUGUUGGAUUUAGGUAUCAGACAUGUUGAUGGCCUGGGUGCAAAUCUCACUGCUACCA